rnacentral:rRNA from 1 species
CCUACGGGCGGCUGCAGUGGGGAAUAUUGCACAAUGGGGGAAACCCUGAUGCAGCGACGCCGCGUGAGUGAAGAAGUAAUUCGUUAUGUAAAGCUCUAUCAUCAGGGAAGAAAAUGACGGUACCUGAGUAAGAAGCCACGGCUAACUACGUGCCAGCAGCCGCGGUAAUACGUCGGGGGCAAGCGUUUUCAGGAUUUACUGGUUGAAAGGGGUGCGUAGACGGCAGUGAAAGGCGGGGGUGAAGUGCGGGGGUCAACCCCCGGACUGCUCUGGAAACUGUACGGCUGGAGUGCAGGAGAGGUAAGUGGAAUUCCUAGUGUAGCGGUGAAAUGCGUAGAUAUUAGGAGGAACACCAGUGGCGAAGGCGGCUUACUGGACUGUAACUGACGUUGAGGCUCGAAAGCGUGGGGAGCAAACAGGAUUAGAUACCCCAGUAGUC